UGUGUGUGUGUGUGUGUGUGUGUGUAUAUAUAAAAAGUGAGAUCUGUGAGAGCAUCAACAACUUGGCACAAUUUGGACGCCGAGUGACUUCAUCACCGCUCGUUUGCUGGCGUUUGUUGGUUGUAACAUGCAUUGUCGACGGCAAGCAUGGUGAAAAUAUGAUCGAUCGCCCGCACAGCCAUUCUUGUCAUCAUCUCCUUCCCUAGCAAAAAUCAGCGUGCGCACGACAACGACAACAACGACACAGCCAUCGGCGCGCCUCUCUUUCAUUUUAAAUAUAACAGUGUAUAAAUAAGUAUGAGCAAUAGCGGGAGUGCGCGGCGAGACUGCUCGCGUUGCCACCAUCGUUAAUUUUUCUCUCGUCUCCGCGCGCGCUCGCGAAUAUGCGAUUGUUUAUCCACGCGUUUUGCACGCCAGAGAUAGAUUGAAAGAAUACAAGUGAAUGAGAGCAAGAAUAUAAACGAAUAGUACGUGCCGUCUCGUUGUAUGCGUUUGGAAAAUUGUUAUUUUUUUCAUUCUUAUUGCAAUCUACGAUGAUCUUUGUGCAUGGGCAUGCAACACUGAAUACAAUCAAGAAAAACUUGAAAGUUCCAAUUAAGAAGAACAUAUAUACGUUCGUAUUUCUGGAAGCACAGUUUUAAAUAAUGACUAAUAUUUAUCAUCAGAUAUUAAUCGAAUAUAAUCUCAACAAUCAUCAGUAUUUCCAGUAUACAAGACAUCUACGUGAUGCUGUUGCUUCCAAGUUGCUUGCAGCUGCGCAACAAGCUGCAGCAUUAUGCUGAAGACUCUUCUGAAUAUAUUGAUGCCUGUAUAAUGUUAGAAGAAUUCUGCCUAUUUGCCACAGAAUUGGCACGUCUGUGCGAGCGAGGGCAAAAAUAUUGAGCAUUUGAUUAUAAUGGGGGAUGUUUAAAAACAAUGAAACGCAAUGUGAUGUCUAUUGUUACAAAAUUAUUUGAUAUUUGGAAGCGUGCGGCGAGAAUUUUUUGUCAAGGGGAUGCUGGACUGACGAGCGAACUCCGACGAAACGUUCGCAUAUAUGCACAUCUAAACAUACAUAGAUACAUUUAUGUAUACAUACAUAUCAUACAUACAGGUACGCAUACAUAUCCAUGAAAUUUUCAGGCAAAGUAUUUUCUUAUAUAUAUAGCUCCUAGGCGCAUUUUUAAAAGCAUAGUAAUGUUCUUUCUUGUAAUUCCGUCCCGGUGAGUUUGUGUUGUUUAUAUCUUCAAAGUCUAAACUUUUAUUCAUAGAAAAA